rnacentral:rRNA from 1 species
UACGUAGGGUGCGAGCGUUGUCCGGAAUUAUUGGGCGUAAAGAGCUCGUAGGCGGUCUGUCGCGUCGAAUGUGAAAACCCGGGGCUCAACUCCGGGCUUGCAUUCGAUACGGGCAGGCUAGAGUUCGGUAGGGGAGUCUGGAAUUCCUGGUGUAGCGGUGAAAUGCGCAGAUAUCGGGAGGAACACCAGUAGCGAAGGCGACACUCUGGGCCGGUACUGACGCUGAGGAGCGAAAGCGUGGGGAGCAAACAGG